GAUGAACGCUGGCGGCGUGCCUAAUACAAGCAAGUCGAGCGAAUGGAUUAAGAGCUUGCUCUUAUGAAGUUAGCGGCGGACGGGUGAGUAACACGUGGGUAACCUGCCCAUAAGACUGGGAUAACUCCGGGAAACCGGGGCUAAUACCGGAUAACAUUUUGAACCGCAUGGUUCGAAAUUGAAAGGCGGCUUCGGCUGUCACUUAUGGAUGGACCCGCGUCGCAUUAGCUAGUUGGUGAGGUAACGGCUCACCAAGGCAACGAUGCGUAGCCGACCUGGGAGGGUGAUCGGCCACACUGGGACUGAGACACGGCCCAGACGCCUACGGGAGGCAGCAGUAGGGAAUCUUCCGCAAUGGACGAAAGUCUGACGGAGCAACGCCGCGUGAGUGAUGAAGGCUUUCGGGUCGUAAAACUCUGUUGUUAGGGAAGAACAAGUGCUAGUUGAAUAAGCUGGCACCUUGACGGUACCUAACCAGAAAGCCACGGCUAACUACGUGCCAGCCGCCGCAGUAA
rnacentral:rRNA from 1 species